AGAGUUUGAUCCUGGCUCAGAACGAACGCUGGCGGCGUGGAUUAGGCAUGCAAGUCGAACGGGAUCUAUUGAACGGACGCUUCGGUUGAAGUUCUUUAGUGAGAGUGGCGAACGGGUGAGUAACGCGUGGGCAAUCUGCCCAGAAGUUGGGGAUAGCUUCGGGAAACCGGGGGUAAUACCGAAUGUGAUCGUCUCCCGCAUGGGAGACUGUUUAAAGGUGGGGAUCUUCGGACCUGCCGCUUCUGGAUGUGCCCGCGUCCCAUCAGCUUGUUGGUAAGGUAACGGCUUACCAAGGCUAAGACGGGUAGCUGGUCUGAGAGGAUGGUCAGCCACACUGGGACUGAGACACUGCCCAGACUCCUACGGGAGGCUGCAGUCGAGAAUCAUUCGCAAUGCACGAAAGUGCGACGAUGCGACGCCGCGUGGAGGAUGAAGGCCUUCGGGUCGUAAACUCCUGUCAUAAGGGAGUAAUAGCCUUACAGUUAAUACCUGUUUGGUUUGAUAGUACCUUAAGAGGAAGCCACGGCUAACUCUGUGCCAGCAGCCGCGGUAAUACAGAGGUGGCAAGCGUUGUUCGGAUUUACUGGGCGUAAAGGGUGCGUAGGCGGUUUCGUAUGUCGGAUGUGAAAGAUCCAGGCUCAACCUGGAAAUUGCAUUCGAAACUGCGGAACUAGAGUACUGGAGAGGUGAGCGGAAUUCUCGGUUGUAGCGGUGAAAUGCGUAGAUAUCAAGAGGAACGCCGGUGGUGAAGACGGCUCUCUGGACUGAUACUGACGCUGAGGCACGAAAGCUGGGGGAGCGAAGAGGAUUAGAUACCCUCGUAGUCCCAGCCGUAAACGUUGUGUACUUGGUGUGGGCGGCUUUGUCCCCGUCCGUGCCGUAGCUAACGCGUUAAGUACACCGCCUGGGGAGUACGGCCGCAAGGCUAAAACUCAAAGGAAUUGACGGGGGCCCGCACAAGCGGUGGAGCAUGUGGCUUAAUUCGAUGCAACGCGAAGAACCUUACCUGGACUUGACAUUCUACUGCACGUCCUGUGAAAGCAGGAUGCUCGGCUGGACGGUGCACAGGUGCUGCAUGGCUGUCGUCAGCUCGUGUCGUGAGAUGUUGGGUUAAGUCCCGCAACGAGCGCAACCCUUGCCCUUAGUUGCCAUCGCGUAAAGGCGGGCACUCUAGGGGGACUGCCCGGGACAACCGGGAGGGAGGGGGGGAUGACGUCAAGUCCUCAUGGCCCUUAUACCCAGGGCUACACACGUACUACAAUGGCCGGUACAAAGAGGCGCCAACCCGCGAGGGGGAGCAAAUCUCACAAAGCCGGUCUCAGUUCGGAUUGCAGGCUGCAACUCGCCUGCAUGAAGUUGGAAUCGCUAGUAAUCGCGGAUCAGCAUGCCGCGGUGAAUACGUUCCCGGGCCUUGUACACACCGCCCGUCACAUCACGAAAGCUGGCUGUACUAGAAGUCGCCGAGCUAACCCGCAAGGGAGGCAAGCGCCUAAGGUGUGGUUGGUGAUUGGGGUGAAGUCGUAACAAGGUAACC
rnacentral:rRNA from 1 species